GGGCUCGUAGUCGAGUGGUAAGACGCCGCCUUCGCAAGGCGGAGACCGCGGGUUCAAUUCCCGCCGAGUCCA
rnacentral:tRNA from 1 species